AUAAACAGCUACCACACUGGUGGACUCUAUUUGGACUUUCUUCAUAUUCUACUGUCCUUUCCCCUCCCUUUGGUCAGCCCUACUGUUCUCUCUAGACAGAGGAUUCAGGAUGGAAGAGAUGCUGAAAGGUAUAGUCAUCAGGAAAAAGUCUAGAUGCAUUCAUGCCCAGGGACUGGAGAAAUCGUAUUUGAAACAAUCAGUGGGAAUUUGCUCAUCUUUAAAACCCUUCAAGGAAUAGAGGAGACAGGUAACCAGAAACAGCUGGUGCCAAUGAUGCUGAUGGCUGAAGUAUUAUUUGGAGAACAGCAGUUGGUAUAAAAACUCUUCUGCUGCUUGCAUUUAAAAUAUCCCAGACAGACACAUGCCAUGAAGAGGAUGGCAAGGCUGAAAUUUUCCAACAUGGGACUUAAACCUAAGAUUAAGGAAUGGAUGAGGUUGGAUUGCAUCUGGAAAUUU